rnacentral:rRNA from 1 species
UACAGAGGUCUCAAGCGUUGUUCGGAUUCAUUGGGCGUAAAGGGUGCGUAGGUGGCGCGAUAAGUCGGGUGUGAAAUCUCGGAGCUUAACUCCGAAAUUGCAUUCGAUACUGCCGUGCUCGAGGACUGGAGAGGAGACUGGAAUUCAUGGUGUAGCAGUGAAAUGCGUAGAGAUCAUGAGGAAGACCAGUGGCGAAGGCGGGUCUCUGGACAGUUCCUGACACUGAGACACGAAGGCCAGGGGAGCAAACGGG